UUCAUGGAGAGUUUGAUCCUGGCUCAGGACGAACGCUGGCGGCGUGCCUAAUACAUGCAAGUCGAGCGGACAGAUGGGAGCUUGCUCCCUG
rnacentral:rRNA from 1 species